rnacentral:rRNA from 1 species
GUCCACGCCGUAAACGAUGGGCACUAGAUCCCUGGGGGAGCGACCCCGUGGGGUCGGCGCUAACGCAUUAAGUGCCCCGCCUGGGGAGUACGGCCGCAAGGCUGAAACUCAAAGGAAUUGACGGGGCCCGCACAAGCGGUGGAGCAUGUGGUUUAAUUCGACGCAACGCGAAGAACCUUACCUGGGCUUGACAUGCACGUGACGCUUUGGGGAAACCUGGGGCUUCCUUCGGGACGCGUGCACAGGUGCUGCAUGGCUGUCGU